rnacentral:rRNA from 1 species
ACUAAGCGUACACGGUGGAUGCCCUGGCAGUCAGAGGCGAUGAAGGACGUGCUAAUCUGCGAUAAGCGUCGGUGAGGUGAUAUGAACCGUUAUAACCGGCGAUUUCCGAAUGGGGAAACCCAGUGUGUUUCGACACACUAUCAUUAACUGAAUCCAUAGGUUAAUGAGGCGAACCGGGGGAACUGAAACAUCUAAGUACCCCGAGGAAAAGAAAUCAACCGAGAUUCCCCCAGUAGCGGCGAGCGAACGGGGAGGAGCCCAGAGCCUGAAUCAGUGUGUGUGUUAGUGGAAGCGUCUGGAAAGGCGCGCGAUACAGGGUGACAGCCCCGUACACAAAAAUGCACAUAUUGUGAGCUCGAUGAGUAGGGCGGGACACGUGGUAUCCUGUCUGAAUAUGGGGGGACCAUCCUCCAAGGCUAAAUACUCCUGACUGACCGAUAGUGAACCAGUACCGUGAGGGAAAGGCGAAAAGAACCCCGGCGAGGGGAGUGAAAAAGAACCUGAAACCGUGUACGUACAAGCAGUGGGAGCCUCUUAAUGGGGUGACUGCGUACCUUUUGUAUAAUGGGUCAGCGACUUAUAUUCUGUAGCAAGGUUAACCGAAUAGGGGAGCCGAAGGGAAACCGAGUCUUAACUGGGCGUUAAGUUGCAGGGUAUAGACCCGAAACCCGGUGAUCUAGCCAUGGGCAGGUUGAAGGUUGGGUAACACUAACUGGAGGACCGAACCGACUAAUGUUGAAAAAUUAGCGGAUGACUUGUGGCUGGGGGUGAAAGGCCAAUCAAACCGGGAGAUAGCUGGUUCUCCCCGAAAGCUAUUUAGGUAGCGCCUCGUGAAUUCAUCUCCGGGGGUAGAGCACUGUUUCGGCAAGGGGGUCAUCCCGACUUACCAACCCGAUGCAAACUGCGAAUACCGGAGAAUGUUAUCACGGGAGACACACGGCGGGUGCUAACGUCCGUCGUGAAGAGGGAAACAACCCAGACCGCCAGCUAAGGUCCCAAAGUCAUGGUUAAGUGGGAAACGAUGUGGGAAGGCCCAGACAGCCAGGAUGUUGGCUUAGAAGCAGCCAUCAUUUAAAGAAAGCGUAAUAGCUCACUGGUCGAGUCGGCCUGCGCGGAAGAUGUAACGGGGCUAAACCAUGCACCGAAGCUGCGGCAGCGACACUAUGUGUUGUUGGGUAGGGGAGCGUUCUGUAAGCCUGUGAAGGUGGCCUGUGAGGGUUGCUGGAGGUAUCAGAAGUGCGAAUGCUGACAUAAGUAACGAUAAAGCGGGUGAAAAGCCCGCUCGCCGGAAGACCAAGGGUUCCUGUCCAACGUUAAUCGGGGCAGGGUGAGUCGACCCCUAAGGCGAGGCCGAAAGGCGUAGUCGAUGGGAAACAGGUUAAUAUUCCUGUACUUGGUGUUACUGCGAAGGGGGGACGGAGAAGGCUAUGUUGGCCGGGCGACGGUUGUCCCGGUUUAAGCGUGUAGGCUGGUUUUCCAGGCAAAUCCGGAAAACCAAGGCUGAGGCGUGAUGACGAGGCACUACGGUGCUGAAGCGACAAAUGCCCUGCUUCCAGGAAAAGCCUCUAAGCAUCAGGUAACAUCAAAUCGUACCCCAAACCGACACAGGUGGUCAGGUAGAGAAUACCAAGGCGCUUGAGAGAACUCGGGUGAAGGAACUAGGCAAAAUGGUGCCGUAACUUCGGGAGAAGGCACGCUGAUAUGUAGGUGAAGCGACUUGCUCGUGGAGCUGAAAUCAGUCGAAGAUACCAGCUGGCUGCAACUGUUUAUUAAAAACACAGCACUGUGCAAACACGAAAGUGGACGUAUACGGUGUGACGCCUGCCCGGUGCCGGAAGGUUAAUUGAUGGGGUUAGCGGCAACGCGAAGCUCUUGAUCGAAGCCCCGGUAAACGGCGGCCGUAACUAUAACGGUCCUAAGGUAGCGAAAUUCCUUGUCGGGUAAGUUCCGACCUGCACGAAUGGCGUAAUGAUGGCCAGGCUGUCUCCACCCGAGACUCAGUGAAAUUGAACUCGCUGUGAAGAUGCAGUGUACCCGCGGCAAGACGGAAAGACCCCGUGAACCUUUACUAUAGCUUGACACUGAACAUUGAGCCUUGAUGUGUAGGAUAGGUGGGAGGCUUUGAAGUGUGGACGCCAGUCUGCAUGGAGCCGACCUUGAAAUACCACCCUUUAAUGUUUGAUGUUCUAACGUUGGCCCGUAAUCCGGGUUGCGGACAGUGUCUGGUGGGUAGUUUGACUGGGGCGGUCUCCUCCUAAAGAGUAACGGAGGAGCACGAAGGUUGGCUAAUCCUGGUCGGACAUCAGGAGGUUAGUGCAAUGGCAUAAGCCAGCUUGACUGCGAGCGUGACGGCGCGAGCAGGUGCGAAAGCAGGUCAUAGUGAUCCGGUGGUUCUGAAUGGAAGGGCCAUCGCUCAACGGAUAAAAGGUACUCCGGGGAUAACAGGCUGAUACCGCCCAAGAGUUCAUAUCGACGGCGGUGUUUGGCACCUCGAUGUCGGCUCAUCACAUCCUGGGGCUGAAGUAGGUCCCAAGGGUAUGGCUGUUCGCCAUUUAAAGUGGUACGCGAGCUGGGUUUAGAACGUCGUGAGACAGUUCGGUCCCUAUCUGCCGUGGGCGCUGGAGAACUGAGGGGGGCUGCUCCUAGUACGAGAGGACCGGAGUGGACGCAUCACUGGUGUUCGGGUUGUCAUGCCAAUGGCACUGCCCGGUAGCUAAAUGCGGAAGAGAUAAGUGCUGAAAGCAUCUAAGCACGAAACUUGCCCCGAGAUGAGUUCUCCCUGAGACUUAGAGUCUCCUGAAGGAACGUUGAAGACGACGACGUUGAUAGGCCGGGUGUGUAAGCGCAGCGAUGCGUUGAGCUAACCGGUACUAAUGAACCGUGAGGCUUAACC